rnacentral:lncRNA from 1 species
CAGAAAGUGUCAUCAACUUUGUUAAUGAUUAAUGCAUUUCAUGUUAUAAAAAAAGAAAAUUUUAAUUAUUUUUCAGGGAUACUGCAUUGAUAAGGGUCGGCGGGAAUAAAAAAGCAUGAAAAGUCAAUUUUAUUUUUAUUCUGAAAAUCGGCAAAAUCGGGUCGGCGGAUCCGUAAACCAACAAAUAAAAAAACCGUGGUAGCACAUGUCAAAUUAAUUCCAGUCAGACAAACAGCUCGUGCAAAUGAAUUUGGGCCAGGGAAUCCCAUGAAAAAAAAAUUCAGUAGUGAAAGUGUUCUGCCAUUUGCUACUUCACUGACAAAAAUGUAAAUUCAAAAAAAAUAAAAUAUCUUUUUUAAAUGAUUACAGGCAGUCGAGACAUUUUGUCGCAAAGUGGCUGUCACAAAAACAAGGAUGAAAAUUCAGAGUUUACCUUGGGC